UUGGUUUUCAGGGCAAAGCAGUUUACCUAUGUUUAUUUGUGUUUCAUCAUUUAUUUCGAGAAAAUAAAUCAAAUAAAUUAGUUUCAUUAUAACAAGCAUAAUUUAAUUAAAUUUUUUGCUAUAAUUUCUUAACCUAAUAUGGCCUUGUCCCCUUUGAAUAUUUAUCUUUUAUUAAUGGGAUAAUAUGUCUCUCUUGUUGGUGUGUUAUGAAUCCGAAAAACUUUUUAAGAAUAGCAUCUGUUGUUGGUGAAAUAUCCAUACCUGUUUACAGCUGUGAUGGUUGUAGUUAUUCUACCAGCAUUAAGUCUCAUUUAGUGAGGCACAGAAUGAGACAUACGGGAGAACGUCCUUUUCACUGUUCUACUUGUGGAAAAGGAUUUAUAACAGCACAUCAUUUAAGAUAUCAUGAAACAACUCAUUUAAAACUCUAAUCUUAAGUGAUAAAAUAUUGCAAACUCAACAUCCAUUCUUAAAAUAAAUUAGAAUUUCAUCUUGUAAA